GGAAGAGUGGCAGAGUGGCCGAAUGCGUCUGUCUCGAAAACAGAUUCACGGGCAACCGUGACGGGAGUUCGAAUCUCCCCUCUUCCG
rnacentral:tRNA from 2 species